GGUUUCUUCUUUUCCUUAGUAGAUAAACUUUCUCUCUGGGACACUAGCAACUCAAUCACAUCAUUCUCUAUGACUUAUACAAAUCCUACAUCCUUUGCAUGUGUCACAAUGCCUUUCUGAAUUUGAUGUAGACUUUCUGCUUGAGGAAAACUUAUAAUGUCACCGAUACAGCCUGGCCAU